CCUACGGGUGGCAGCAGUGAGGAAUAUUGGUCAAUGGUCGGGAGACUGAACCAGCCAAGCCGCGUGAGGGAGGAAGGUACAGAGUAUCGUAAACCUCUUUUGUCAGGGAACAAAGACUGGGACGCGUCCCCGGAUGAGUGUACCUGAAGAAAAAGCAUCGGCUAACUCCGUGCCAGCAGCCGCGGUAAUACGGAGGAUGCGAGCGUUAUCCGGAUUUAUUGGGUUUAAGGGGUGCGCAGGCGGUCUGUAAAGUCAGCGGGCAAAGCCCGGGGCUCAACCCCGGCCCGCCGUUGAAACUGGCAGUCUCGAGUUGGAGAGAAGUAUGCGGAAUGCGCGGUGUAGCGGUGAAAUGCAUAGAUAUCGCGCAGAACUCCGAUUGCGAAGGCAGCAUGCCGGCUCCACACUGACGCUGAGGCACGAAAGCGUGGGUAUCGAACAGGAUUAGAUACCCCUGUAGUC
rnacentral:rRNA from 1 species